rnacentral:tRNA from 1 species
GGGGCCAUAGCUCAGUUGGUAGAGCACCUGCAUGGCAUGCAGGGUGUCAGCGGUUCGAGUCCGCUUGGCUCCA